CGCUGAACUUAAGCAUAUCAUUAAGCGGAGGAAAAGAAACUAACAAGGAUUCCCUUAGUAGCGGCGAGCGAACAGGGAUAAGCCCAGAACCGAAUCCUGCGGAGUAAUCUGCUAGGAAAUGUGGUGUUUGGUUCAAGCCUUACGGCGUACUGGAGUUGUUCUAAGUCCACUUGAUUGUGGCAUUGUUCCCACAGAGGGUGUAAGGCCCGUAUGAACAAUACAGUGCGUCCAGGGUUUGUUCCUAGAGUCGGGUUGUUUGGGAAUGCAGCCCAAAUUGGGUGGUAAACUCCAUCCAAGGCUAAAUACAACACGAGUCCGAUAGCGAACAAGUACCAUGAGGGAAAGUUGAAAAGAACUUUGAAGAGAGAGUUCAAUAGUGCGUGAAACCGCUCAGAGGUAAACAGACAGAGCUGAAGAUGAGCAGUUGUAGUGGAGUUUUGUUGACGCUGCUUCUUUGUUGGCGACCUUUCGGCGCUAACUUUGAGGAUUUGUGUGGACACUGUUCUGUUGCGCUGUUCAACACUACGACCGGUAGUUAGGGAGGCCUGGCGUUCGCAGAAGGUGGCUCUGAACUUGUUUGGAGUGUUAUAGCUGCGGAUUACAGCGUUUCCUGAGUACUGUUUUGCAAUAAGCCAUAUACGGCACACAUGGUGCUUUUGGCUGGGAAGGGGUAAUACGGAUCAUUUAACGAUUUGUGUUGUUUCCUUUCUUGUCGAUGGUAUCCUCUGUGGUCAUUAUUGUAGUUGUAGUGCAAUGGUAGGCAUCUGCCUGACCCGUCUUGAAACACGGACCAAGGAGUUUAGCACAUACGCGAGUCAUGGGGUUCUACGAAACCUAAAGGCGCAGUGAAGGUAAAGACCUGAUUUUUCAGGUUGAGGUAAGAUCCUGGUUACAAUGUGAUUUUUCACAUGUGCUGGGCGCAUUACCGGCUCGUCUCAUGCUUUUCAAGUGAGGCGAAGCAAGAGCGUAUGUGCUGAGACCCGAAAGAUGGUGAACUAUGCUUGUGUAGGUUGAAGCCAGAGGAAACUCUGGUGGAGGACCGUAGCGAUUCUGACGUGCAAAUCGAUCGUCAAACAUGAGUAUAGGGGCGAAAGACUAAUCGAACCAUCUAGUAGCUGGUUCCCUUCGAAGUUUCCCUCAGGAUAGCUGGCACUCGGGAAACAAGCAGUUUUAUCCGGUAAAGCGAAUGAUUAGCAGUAUUGGGGAUGAAAUAUUCUCAACUGAUUCUCAAACUUUAAAUGGGUGAGAAGCUUAGCUCUCUUAAUUUGGAGUUAAGCAUUGAAUGUGAGUGCCUAGUGGGCCAUUUUUGGUAAGCAGAACUGGCGCUGUGGGAUGAACCAAACGUCUGGUUACGGAGCCAAACAUAACGCUCAUGAGAAACCACAAAAGGUGUUGGUUGAUUUUGACAGCAGGACGGUGGCCAUGGAAGUCGGAAUCCGCUAAGGAGUGUGUAACAACUCACCUGCCGAAUCAACCAGCCCUGAAAAUGGAUGGCGCUAGAGCGUUGGUCCUAUACCAGACCGUUACCACAAAUUGCAAUGUACGUGGUAACGAGUAGAAGGGCGCCGUGGUGGGCAUUGAAGCUUCGGUCGUGAGACUGGGUGGAGCCGCCACGGGUGCAGAUCUUGGUGGUAGUAGCAAAUAUUCAAGUGAGAACCUUGAAGACUGAAGU
rnacentral:rRNA from 1 species